UGUUGAUAAUGCAGAAGUUGAAGAUAAGAAAGUAAUAAUCACAUCUGAAUCGUUUCAUAAACAAAUCAUUUCUCCAGCGUCCGAUCUUCUCUUUCUCCAUUCUCUCUCUCUUCAUCCCCUGCAAUCUCUCCAUUCAUCUUACGAUCCUCUUGGGUUAGGGUUAGGGUUUUGUUGUGUUUGAUUUGGUUGCAAAAUGGCGGAUGCUCCUUCAAGUCCUGGCGGUGGAAGUCAUGAAAGUGGUGGUGACCAUAGUCCUCGUUCUAAUGUUCGGGAGCAGGAUAGGUAUCUUCCGAUUGCUAAUAUUAGUCGGAUUAUGAAGAAAGCUUUACCUGCUAAUGGAAAAAUUGCUAAGGAUGCUAAAGAAACUGUUCAGGAAUGUGUGUCUGAGUUUAUUAGUUUCAUCACUAGCGAGGCAAGUGAUAAGUGUCAGAGAGAGAAGAGAAAGACUAUUAAUGGUGAUGAUUUGCUUUGGGCUAUGGCUACAUUAGGGUUUGAAGAUUAUAUCGAGCCCCUUAAGAUCUACCUGACUCGUUAUCGAGAGGUGUAUUCAUUCAUCUUAGCUUAAUUUUUCCGUCCUUUUUUAUUGUGAUAUUGAUUUAUAUACAUGAUUAAAUGACCAACUAAUUUUUUGUUCCUGUCUCUUGGAUUAUUGGUGCGCCAUUGUCACUCUUGCAGAUGGAGGGGGAUACUAAGGGGUCUGCUAAGGGAGGUGAAUCCUCGGGCAAACGGGAUACAAUGGGUGGUCAACCUGCUCCAAAUGUCCAGCUUGCUCACCAAGGCUCUUUUAAUCAAUCUCAUCAAGUUCUGAACUAUGGGAACUCACAGGCUCAGCAUCUGAUGGUUCCAAUGCCGGGUCCAGAGUAGGUGUUUCCCUGCAAUUCUAUUAAUUUACAUGAUUUUAAGUCGCAAGGGAAGUUUAAUUUAAUAUCUUCCCAGUAAAGUCCGAAAUCUGAAGUCGAUUUCAUAAGUACUAUAUAGAUCAAACUUGUAUCGAUAAUACUUCUCAUUCUUAGCAAUUUAGGUUUUGUUGUAGACUUGGUUGUAUCAUUUACUGGUAGAGUUGUUGUAUAUGAAAUUAUGAGUGGGUUCGUCAUGAAUUGGAUUAUUAAAUUUUUAUUUAUAUACCGACAUGGAGUUAUGCUGAA